rnacentral:lncRNA from 1 species
GCAGCAGCAGUGGUCCAUUAGAAGAUGCAACCGAUGGGAAAGUAACUAAUGAUCCAAGUAAGCUUUUUUGUUUCACUAAAGUAGUGGACACUGGUUGAAAGUAACCAGAGGUACAAUCAUGUUCUCGUACUCUGGUUAACAUAACCAGGAUCCAUGGUUCAAAGAGGAGAGGACAGGCUAACAGGAGGGGCUUCUUUGAAAUAAAUAUAACUUGGAUUUGCAAAUAGGGAUAAGGGAAGGUCUAAUAUGCAAUAAUGACAACACCCUCAGUCUGCAUGGUAUGCUUCUUGUUUUAUCAGCAGACCGCUUGAGUCCUUUGCAGGAUGAGAGAUAAAAACCUAAAACGUUACUUUUCCUCCUCUCCUCCACUGUACAUUUCUGUUUUCUAUAAUUUUGCUGACUUCUCUAUUUAUUGAAGUCCUUGAGAUCGUGUUGUUUCAAGCAUUAGCUAUGUUGAUCUUGCCAUGGCUCACUACUUGUUUUUCUGGAGGAUCUGAUUGUUAUAUGAUUUUAUUUUACUAACUCUGAUUUAUUAAAGCUGGUAGCACCAUUUUCCAAAACCAAUCUCUUCUUUCCUGCUAGGAAUGAUCCAACUAUACAUCAUAACUAAUAAUAAGUAUAAAAAAUUUAAUCUUGAUGCAGAAAAAACAUACCUCCAGUCAUUAUUGUUUAAGCCUAAAGACGAAUCAAAGAUGAACAUUGCGAGAA